GAACCUGUGACGUUUGCUUUGAAAUGUGGUUGUUAAACCAAUAGGCCAUGUAUUCAGAUUGUUAUUAAAUUAAAACCGUUUUCCUUACAACCUGGCCUAUCCAUCAUCAUCUUCUCCUAAUCAAUUCCUUUCAUCUUUAUCAAUGGCAGAAGCCACCAUCAAUAACCCAACAAAAUUUUACACAUUUCGUCUUCAACAAAAUUUUGAUGAAAGCCAGUCCAAAAAAAAACGGUCACCCGGUCCGUCAAAUCCGGUCUCCAGUUCCCCGUCGGUAGAAUCGGCCGGUACCUGAAAGUAGGCCGGUAUGCUAAGCGCAUCGGUACCGGUGCUCCGGUUUACCUCGCUGCUGUUCUCUUGUACCUUGCUGCUGAGGUUGUUGAUGGUGGCUUCCGCCAUUGAUAAAGAUGAAAGGCUUUGGAUAAGGGAAGAUGAUGAUAAUUAGGCCAUGUUUUAAAGAAAACAAUUUGAAUUCAAUCACUAUCUCGAUACAUGGUCUAUUGAUUUAACAAUCACAUUUCAAAGCAAAGGGCACAGUAUCUCAUAGUCCAGUUAAUAUUUGUUGUUAAACAAAUAUCUUCAAGAAUUGUCGAAGAUCUAGUCAAAGCGAGGGCUCCUUACUUUCAAUUUAGAGGAUGUGCUUGAAAUGGGGAAAGGUUGCUGAUGCAACAAAGAAGGGUUAGGAUUAUGCUGGAGAAAUGUACCAACACUGUAAGUGUAGUACUUAAUUGUUUUUUAUUAGUUUUUUUGUAGAUGUCAUUUGAUUCCAUAUAUGAAGCACAGUAUGACUACGUCUAGUUCGAAAUACGUAUUUAUGGGUCACUAGAUAAUGAAGAUCAUGUAUGCAAAUGGUCAUGUGCAUCUUAAGACAAUGGUUUUGGUUUUUAAGAAUUUGCCUUUUUAUUUUGUAGGGUAUAUUUUCCGUAAUUGUUUUGAA
rnacentral:lncRNA from 1 species